AUACUUACCUGGCAGGGUAGAUCCUAUGAUUAUGAAGAUGAUUUUCCCCUGGGCGAGGCUUAUACAUUGCACUCUGGAUGUGCUGACCUCUGCAAUUUCCCCAAAUAUGGGAAACUCACUGCAUAAUGUGUAAGC
rnacentral:snRNA from 1 species